rnacentral:rRNA from 1 species
UACGUAGGGGGCGAGCGUUGUCCGGAUUUAUUGGGCGUAAAGAGCGUGUAGGCGGCCAGGUAGGUCUGCUGUGAAAACUCGAGGCUCAACCUCGAGACGUCGGCGGAAACCAUCUGGCUAGAGUCCGGAAGAGGAGAGUGGAAUUCCUGGUGUAGCGGUGAAAUGCGCAGAUAUCAGGAGGAACACCCGUGGCGAAAGCGGCUCUCUGGGACGGUACUGACGCUGAGACGCGAAAGCGUGGGGAGCGAACAGG